rnacentral:rRNA from 1 species
GAUGAACGCUGGCGGCGUGCCUAACACAUGCAAGUCGAGCGAAGCGGUUUUAAGGAAGUUUUCGGAUGGAAUUAAAACUGACUGAGCGGCGGACGGGUGAGUAACGCGUGGGUAACCUGCCUCAUACAGGGGGAUAACAGUUAGAAAUGGCUGCUAAUACCGCAUAAGCACACAGCUUCGCAUGGAGCAGUGUGAAAAACUCUGGUGGUAUGAGAUGGACCCGCGUCUGAUUAGCUAGUUGGUAAGGUAACGGCUUACCAAGGCGACGAUCAGUAGCCGACCUGAGAGGGUGACCGGCCACAUUGGGACUGAGACACGGCCCAAACUCCUACGGGAGGCAGCAGUGGGGAAUAUUGCACAAUGGGGGAAACCCUGAUGCAGCGACGCCGCGUGAGUGAAGAAGUAUCUCGGUAUGUAAAGCUCUAUCAGCAGGGAAGAAAAUGACGG